CCUACGGGUGGCAGCAGUGGGGAAUAUUGCACAAUGGGGGAAACCCUGAUGCAGCGAAGCCGCGUGAGUGAAGACGUAUUUCGGGAUGUAAAGCUCUAUCAGCAGGGAAGAAAAUGACGGUACGUGAUUCAGAAGCCACGUCUAACUACGUGCCAGCAGCCGCGGUAAUACGUAGGGGGCAAGCGUUAUCAGGAUUUACUGGGGUGAAAGGGAGAGUAGACGGCAGCACAAGUCUGGCGGGAAAGGCCGGGGCUUAACCCCGGAACUGCUUUGGAAACUGUGCAGCUAGAGUGCAGGAGAGGUAAGUGGAAUUCCUAGUGUAGCGGUGAAAUGCGUAGAUAUUAGGAGGAACACCAGUGGCGAAGGCGGCUUACUGGACUGUAACUGACGUUGAGGCUCGAAAGCGUGGGGAGCAAACAGGAUUAGAUACCCCAGUAGUC
rnacentral:rRNA from 1 species